rnacentral:rRNA from 1 species
GAUGAACGCUGGCGGCGUGCCUAAUACAUGCAAGUCGAGCGAACGGACGAGAAGCUUGCUUUUCUGAUGUUAGCGGCGGACGGGUGAGUAACACGUGGAUAACCUACCUAUAAGACUGGGAUAACUUCGGGAAACCGGAUCUAAUACCGGAUAAUAUUUUGAACCGCAUGGUUCAAAAUUGAAAGACGGUCUUUGUGUCACUUAUAGAUGGAUCCGCGCUGCAUUAGCUAGUUGGUAAGGUAACGGCUUACCAAGGCAACGAUGCAUAGCCGACCUGAGAGGGUGAUAGGCCACACUGGAACUGAGACACGGUCCAGACUCCUACGGGAGGCAGCAGUAGGGAAUCUUCCGCAAUGGGCGAAAGCCUGACGGAGCAACGCCGCGUGAGUGAUGAAGGUCUUCGGAUCGUAAAACUCUGUUAUUAGGGAAGAACAUAUGUGUAAGUAACUGUGCACAUCUUGACGGUACCUAAUCAGAAAGCCACGGCUAACUACGUG